AUUGAACGCUGGCGGCAGGCUUAACACAUGCAAGUCGAGCGGGGUGAUGGUGCUUGCACUAUCACUUAGCGGCGGACGGGUGAGUAAUGCUUAGGAAUCUGCCUAUUAGUGGGGGACAACAUCUCGAAAGGGAUGCUAAUACCGCAUACGUCCUACGGGAGAAAGCAGGGGAUCACUUGUGACCUUGCGCUAAUAGAUGAGCCUAAGUCGGAGUAGCUAGUUGGUGGGGUAAAGGCCUACCAAGGCGACGAUCUGUGGCGGGUCUGAGAGGAUGAUCCGCCACACUGGGACUGAGACACGGCCCAGACCCCUACGGGAGGCAGCAGUGGGGAAUAUUGGACAAUGGGGGGAACCCUGAUCCAGCCAUGCCGCGUGUGUGAAGAAGGCCUUAUGGCUGUAAAGCACUUUAAGCGAGGAGGAGGCUCUUUUGGUUAAUACCCAAGAUGAGUGGACGUUACUCGCAGAAUAAGCACCGGCUAACUCUGUGCCAGCCGCCGCCGUAA
rnacentral:rRNA from 1 species